AGGUUUACCUGUGUGACUGCGUACCUUUUGUAUAAUGGGUCAGCGACUUAUAUUCUGUAGCAAGGUUAACCGAAUAGGGGAGCCGGAGGGAAACCGAGUCUUAAUUGGGCGUUAAGUUGCAGGGUAUAGACCCGAAACCCGGUGAUCUAGCCAUGGGCAGGUUGAAGGUUGGGUAACACUAACUGGAGGACCGAACCGACUAAUGUUGAAAAAUUAGCGGAUGACCUGUGGCUGGGGGUGAAAGGCCAAUCAAACCGGGAGAUAGCUGGUUCUCCCCGAAAGCUAUUUAGGUAGCGCCUCGUGAAUUCAUCUCCGGGGGUAGAGCACUGUUUCGGCUAGGGGGCCAUCCCGGCUUACCAACCCGAUGCAAACUGCGAAUACCGGAGAAUGUUAUCACGGGAGACACACGGCGGGUGCUAACGUCCGUCGUGAAGAGGGAAACAACCCAGACCGCCAGCUAAGGUCCCAAAGUCAUGGUUAAGUGGGAAACGAUGUGGGAAGGCCCAGACAGCCAGGAUGUUGGCUUAGAAGCAGCCAUCAUUUAAAGAAAGCGUAAUAGCUCACUGGUCGAGUCGGCCUGCGCGGAAGAUGUAACGGGGCUAAACCAUGCACCGAAGCUGCGGCAGCGACGCUGAUGCGUUGUUGGGUAGGGGAGCGUUCUGUAAGCCUGCGAAGGUGGCCUGUGAGGGUUGCUGGAGGUAUCAGAAGUGCGAAUGCUGACAUAAGUAACGAUAAAGCGGGUGAAAAGCCCGCUCGCCGGAAGACCAAGGGUUCCUGUCCAACGUUAAUCGGGGCAGGGUGAGUCGACCCCUAAGGCGAGGCCGAAAGGCGUAGUCGAUGGGAAACGGGUUAAUAUUCCCGUACUUGGUGUUACUGCGAAGGGGGGACGGAGAAGGCUAUGUUGGCCGGGCGACGGUUGUCCCGGUUUAAGCGUGUAGGUGUGUGUUCCAGGUAAAUCCGGUUCACUUUAACACUGAGGCGUGAUGACGAGGCACUACGGUGCUGAAGCAACAAAUGCCCUGCUUCCAGGAAAAGCCUCUAAGCAUCAGGUAACAUCAAAUCGUACCCCAAACCGACACAGGUGGUCAGGUAGAGAAUACCAAGGCGCUUGAGAGAACUCGGGUGAAGGAACUAGGCAAAAUGGUGCCGUAACUUCGGGAGAAGGCACGCUGACACGUAGGUGAAGUGAUUUACUCACGGAGCUGAAGUCAGUCGAAGAUACCAGCUGGCUGCAACUGUUUAUUAAAAACACAGCACUGUGCAAACACGAAAGUGGACGUAUACGGUGUGACGCCUGCCCGGUGCCGGAAGGUUAAUUGAUGGGGUCAGCGCAAGCGAAGCUCCUGAUCGAAGCCCCGGUAAACGGCGGCCGUAACUAUAACGGUCCUAAGGUAGCGAAAUUCCUUGUCGGGUAAGUUCCGACCUGCACGAAUGGCGUAAUGAUGGCCAGGCUGUCUCCACCCGAGACUCAGUGAAAUUGAACUCGCUGUGAAGAUGCAGUGUACCCGCGGCAAGACGGAAAGACCCCGUGAACCUUUACUAUAGCUUGACACUGAACAUUGAGCCUUGAUGUGUAGGAUAGGUGGGAGGCUUUGAAGUGUGGACGCCAGUCUGCAUGGAGCCGACCUUGAAAUACCACCCUUUAAUGUUUGAUGUUCUAACGUGGACCCGUAAUCCGGGUUGCGGACAGUGUCUGGUGGGUAGUUUGACUGGGGCGGUCUCCUCCUAAAGAGUAACGGAGGAGCACGAAGGUUGGCUAAUCCUGGUCGGACAUCAGGAGGUUAGUGCAAUGGCAUAAGCCAGCUUGACUGCGAGCGUGACGGCGCGAGCAGGUGCGAAAGCAGGUCAUAGUGAUCCGGUGGUUCUGAAUGGAAGGGCCAUCGCUCAACGGAUAAAAGGUACUCCGGGGAUAACAGGCUGAUACCGCCCAAGAGUUCAUAUCGACGGCGGUGUUUGGCACCUCGAUGUCGGCUCAUCACAUCCUGGGGCUGAAGUAGGUCCCAAGGGUAUGGCUGUUCGCCAUUUAAAGUGGUACGCGAGCUGGGUUUAGAACGUCGUGAGACAGUUCGGUCCCUAUCUGCCGUGGGCGCUGGAGAACUGAGGGGGGCUGCUCCUAGUACGAGAGGACCGGAGUGGACGCAUCACUGGUGUUCGGGUUGUCAUGCCAAUGGCACUGCCCGGUAGCUAAAUGCGGAAGAGAUAAGUGCUGAAAGCAUCUAAGCACGAAACUUGCCCCGAGAUGAGUUCU
rnacentral:rRNA from 1 species